rnacentral:sRNA from 1 species
ACCUAAACCAGAUCAGAGCGGUAUGCCAAUUUCCUUCAAAUUGGCAGAAGCGGGAGCGGGACCAUCC